GAUGAACGCUGGCGGCGUGCCUAAUACAUGCAAGUCGAGCGAAGCGGGGACGGGUGAGUAACACGUGGAUAACCUCCUAUAAGACUGGGAUAACUUCGGGAAACCGGAGCUAAACCGGAUAUUAAAAGUUGGUUCCGCGCUGCAUUAGUUGUUUGGUAAGGUAACGGCUUACCAAGGCAACGAUGCAUAGCCGACCUGAGAGGGUGAUCGGCCACACUGGAACUGAGACACGGUCCAGACUCCUACGGGAGGCAGCAGUAGGGAAUCUUCCGCAAUGGGCGAAAGCCUGACGGAGCAACGCCGCGUGAGUGAUGAAGGUCUUCGGAUCGUAAAACUCUGUUAUUAGGGAAGCGGUACCUAAUCAGAAAGCCACGGCUAACUACGUGCCAGCAGCCGCGGUAAUUC
rnacentral:rRNA from 1 species